rnacentral:rRNA from 1 species
UACGUAGGGUGCAAGCGUUAAUCGGAAUUACUGGGCGUAAAGCGUGCGCAGGCGGUGCUGUAAGACAGAUGUGAAAUCCCCGGGCUCAACCUGGGACCUGCAUUUGUGACUGCAUCGCUAGAGUACGGUAGAGGGGGAUGGAAUUCCGCGUGUAGCAGUGAAAUGCGUAGAUAUGCGGAGGAACACCGAUGGCGAAGGCAAUCCCCUGGACCUGUACUGACGCUCAUGCACGAAAGCGUGGGGAGCAAACAGG